GUCCUGGACACCAACCACUCCUCCUCCAUGUUCCAGGGCCUUGGGAAGCUCGUUGGGAAACUGUGCCAAGGAGGCUUUGGGACCUGCCAGAGCAGAGGGGAGAUAUGUCCAUGUGUGACUUUCUUGACAGACAUUUUGACCCCAGAAUAGGCUGAUUUGGUGAAAGGAGAGCACGCAGCAGCCGACAGGGAGAGCUCUCACCACCCCCAGGGAGGCUGAGACUCACUCUCGGAUUCCUCCCUUGAAGUUUGUCCCACUUUCUGGCCCACUAAAUGUCUGAUUGUCAACAUCAACAGUGAGAACUGCACAGCCUGUUCAGCACAGCUGGGAUGCACAGAGAUGAAUGAUGAGAGGACACUGUGUGUGCUGCCUGGCUCCCAGCUCCUGAAGCAACACCAGGCCCUGACCCACAAGUGUUGCCUUCCUUGCUGAUACAACCCCCAACACCCCUCCUUUCUGCUGCACUGCCCUGAGAGAUUUUUUGCGUCAUGGAGGGUGUGAGCUCCACCACGGGGGACACGAGCUCCGUGUCGGUGUGAGCUGCACCUGGAGGCACAAAUACCUGUUACCUCUCUGAAAUGGGGGGUACACAGGGGGCCCCCACACCAGAAUUCCUGCUCUGCCACAGCAGGGAGGACGAGGAUAUUUUUUGGGGUGUUGUCCCUUGGAGCAGGAGGGGAGGCUGCCUUGCACUGGAUUCCUGGUCCUAGGAGACAGCCUGGCAUCUUCUGAGAAGGGGCACGGAGAGCAUGGAAGGAAGAAAAACAGGCGGUUGCCAUGGCGACGAGGACCCCGGUGCGAUUGGCUCAGAGCUGGUCACGUGGUGGGUAAUACAUCCCAGGGCCUACAAGUCCCAGCAUGCACCGCGCGGCGCCCCCGGAAUGGGACUGGGAAUAGGACCGGGAUGAGAUGGGCAGUGAGUCCUGCUUCCCUCCCUUGCCUCCCUCUGCACAUCCUCUGUUUCAGCUCAUAGACAUCGGCCCGAACCGAAGCACCUCCCGCUGUGCAGCUCCUCCUGAUUCCCUCUCCUGUUGCUUUGGUUUCGCUCUUCUCGCCUGGGCACCUCUUGUUUUGCCUCACUGAUGCCCUGAACUCCAUCCAGAACUUGCUGCCGUCCCGAGAGCCUGUCUUGUGUGUCUCCCACCCCACCUGCUGCCACUGAGCCAGCUGAAGCCUAGCCCGUUUUACCCCCUUUUAUGGGGUGCUCAUAGAAUCACAGGACUGGUUUUGGAAGGGACCUCAAAGCCCACCUCAUUCCACCCCCUUGCCAUGGG